rnacentral:rRNA from 1 species
CCUACGGGAGGCAGCAGUGGGGAAUAUUGCGCAAUGGGCGAAAGCCUGACGCAGCAACGCCGCGUGGGGGAUGAAGGCCUUCGGGUUGUAAACCUCUUUCAGCAGGGAAGAAGCGAAAGUGACGGUACCUGCAGAAGAAGCACCGGCUAACUACGUGCCAGCAGCCGCGGUAAUACGUAGGGUGCAAGCGUUGUCCGGAUUUAUUGGGCGUAAAGAGCUCGUAGGCGGUUAGUCACGUCGGAUGUGAAAUCCCGGAGCUUAACUCCGGGCCUGCAUUCGAUACGGGCUGACUCGAGUGUUGUAGGGGAGACUGGAACUCCUGGUGUAGCGGUGAAAUGCGCAGAUAUCAGGAAGAACACCGGUGGCGAAGGCGGGUCUCUGGGCAACUACUGACGCUGAGGAGCGAAAGCGUGGGGAGCAAACAGGAUUAGAUACCCUGGUAGUCCACGCCGUAAACGGUGGCGCUAGGUGUGGGGAACAUUCCACGUUCUCUGCGCCGCNGCUACGCAUAGCGCCCGCCGUCGGGAGGUACGGCCGGCCGACGGACGUAAACGUACGAAGUAAGUAAGUUAGUUACGGCGUGAGACGUCGCCGACGGACGACGACGAGGGAGGAGG